AUUGAACGCUGGCGGCAUGUUUUACACAUGCAAGUCGAACGGUAACAGCACUUCGGUGGCUGACGAGUGGCGAACGGGUGAGUAAUACAUCGGAACGUGCCUAGUAGUGGGGGAUAACUACUCGAAAGAGUAGCUAAUACCGCAUGAGAUCUAAGGAUGAAAGCAGGGGACCUUCGGGCCUUGCGCUACUAGAGCGGCUGAUGGCAGAUUAGGUAGUUGGUGGGAUAAAAGCUUACCAAGCCGACGAUCUGUAGCUGGUCUGAGAGGACGACCAGCCACACUGGGACUGAGACACGGCCCAGACUCCUACGGGAGGCAGCAGUGGGGAAUUUUGGACAAUGGGCGCAAGCCUGAUCCAGCAAUGCCGCGUGCAGGAUGAAGGCCUUCGGGUUGUAAACUGCUUUUGUACGGAACGAAAAGCCCUCUUCUAAUACAGGAGGGUCAUGACGGUACCGGAAGAAUAAGCACCGGCUAACUACGUG
rnacentral:rRNA from 1 species